UGGUGUGAGGUUGGGCCAGGA
rnacentral:miRNA from 2 species